rfam:Picea glauca, whole genome shotgun sequence.
ACAUGCCUACAACAUAGAAUUAAUGCAUCAGAUCCCAUUAGAACUCCGCAGUUGAGAGCGCUCAAGCUAGAGUAGUACUGGGAUGGGUGAUCGCCCGAGAAGUCCCAGUGUUUUACAUGCC